GAUGAAGAACGCAGCGAAAUGCGAUAAGUAAUGUGAAUUGCAGAAUUCAGUGAAUCAUCGAAUCUUUGAACGCACCUUGCGCCCUUUGGCUAUUCCGAAGGGCAUGCCUGUUUGAGUAUCAUGAACAUCUCAACUCCUCGCGGUUGCCCGUGACGAGCUUGGACUUUGGGGGUCUUGCCGGCCUGUGGGUCGGCUCCUCUCAAAUGAAUCAGCUUGCCGGUGUUUGGUGGCGUCACAGGUGUGAUAACUAUCUACGCUUGUGGUUUUCCGCCAGGUAACCUCCAGCAAUGGGGGUUCACUGGAGCUCACAAAUGUCUUUCCUCGGUGAGGACAGCUUUUUGAACGUUUGAUCUCAAAUCAGGUAGGACUACCCGCUGAACUUAAGCAUAUCAAUAAGCGGAGGA
rnacentral:misc_RNA from 1 species